GGGAGCUGGAAGCCUCACCCGCGCGCGGGGUCCUUGCCGCGGCAGGCGCAGCAGCAGCCGAGCAGCGAGAGCAGCAGGCCGAGGAGCAGGGCGAGCAGCGCGCCCGCACCCAUCACACCCUUUCGCUGACACCCAACAGAGAAGCGGCCCCUGCGCGCUCCCGGCGAGGCCAGGCCCGGGGCGGGAAGCGGGUGGGGACCAGGCGCGACGCACGAAAGCCCUCUGGCCAGCGGCGCCUCGGAACCUCCAGGUCAAGGCUGCAAGCCGGCUUCUGCUCCCCCCGUGAGGCCCUUCUAUGUCCGGCUGUGCGGUCAGCGCCUCCCGAGCGCCGGGCGCAAUCAAAGCCUGCAGCGACGGCGGAGCCGGAUGCUUGAGGCCUGCCUGGCUGCUUCCCGCCCCACAACCCCACCUCUGUGGGGGCAACACCUGAAUGCCUGAAUGUCACAAAUCUCUACCCACCCCAUCCGUGUACCACCUGUGUCUGGUGCCCGCAGGACAGGACCGUCACCAGCCUCGUCUCAGACCCACAGCCCCCCGCCUGUGUCCUGUCGCAGCCACCUUGCACUUGAUGGAACCUCUGGGGUCUGCAGGGACUGCAGCCCUGGCCUGCGAGGUGCUGGCAGAGACAGGAAGUGCUGGGUUCCUACUCCAAACUCACAUUCCCACACCUCACCCUUGGGAGCAGGAGGAUGACACUGGAGAAGUGGCCAUCCUGUCCCACUGGAAGCGACCAUCAGAGUCAACCCUGGGCUUGCCACCUGAAAAGUAAGUGCAUGAUGUCACGUGGGCUUAGGGAGUAGGGCACGUUUCCUCAGAGGUACCUGGGCCCCAAGACAGCAGUCACACACACCGCGACUGCCUCGCCCCCACACCCAUCUUUAGGGUACCCCCAAAGGAGUCCAGAGCAGCUGGCUGCCUGCACCCCCCAUGCCCUUCCUCCCACCAAGGAGCACACACCGUCCCUCUGCCCCCCUCUUCCAUGGCAGGGCGCCAGGGCAGCAGGCUCUAGGCAAGGCACAGGGACAAAGACCCAGCUGUCCCAGGUGGCCGGGAAAGAACAGAGAACAGAGCACUGGGGGUUUUUCCAGAUCCAUGCCCGGGCCUAGGGGUCUGCAGGGGGUGUGGUAUGAGGACCCCAAAGGAGGGGGGGUGUUCAGAUGGAGGCUGGGCUGUGCAGAAGUGAGGUUGGUGCUGGAAGCCCUGCCUGCCCACAGGUCCCACCUGCUGGAGCAUGGCCCUGGAGACUCACUUGGAGGAAAUGCAGCGCCCCCUCCCCGUACAUGCUCAGAUGCAGGAGGUGGGCAUCUCCCACUCCCUCCCUAGGUGCUAGGCUUUACUUGGGGCUGAGAUGGCCACCUGGGAUUGGACUAAAGUUCAGAGAAGAGGUCCUCACCAGGGAAAAUGCUCAAGUGGGUGGGCAACCAGCUGUCACCAGACUGCGGCGGGCGUCCUGGUGACACCCUUCUAGCCUGGGGGUGGGCUCUCGGCCUCCCAUCGCCCCCAACAGCUCUGCCCCCCAGAAAUCAAGCUUCCAGGGCUGCAGCCUUGGACAGGCUGUGAAAGGAAGUGAGGCCAUGGCCAAAGGAAAGCAAUGCACACCUCGUGUAAGAUGAUUUAUUUCAUUUAUCAACAACAUGGGGGCCGAAAAGCCCAGCUAGAGGGCAUCAUUUUAUCACAGAAUCAGCCUCAGGCAACCUGAUGGAUCUCUCUCCCCCUCCGGCCCUGGGAGCUGCUAGGCAGGCGAUGGGCUCAGCACGCCCCCUCCCUGCCGACGAGAGGGACAAGAUGUGCCCUGGCCCCCUCACCAGGGGCCAGUCCCCAGGUCCCUUGGGAGAAGGGCGCCCUCUCGGCCCAGUAGGAACCAGAACCAGGGAGCAGGGAGGCCAGGACAGCUGGUGGUGGCACAGCCCGUCCCUGCUGAGGAGGAGAGAGCCCGGUGAACUUCAGGGGACCGAGCCCUUCCCGAAGGUUUCCCACUGUGGGGUGAUCCACAGCCACAGGUCUGCAGGGCCCCAAAAAUACCUGCCGAUGGGAGGUGGCGGGAGGGAAGGCCACUGCUAGCCUGGGGUCAAGUGCUCCAGGGCAAAGUGCUGUGGGGGAAGCUGGGAGCUACCACCCCCCGCACCCCCGACCUGGCCUGGGACCCUAGUCCUCACUGGAGUUGUCGAACUCCUCCCAGUCAGACACACUCAUCACCUCAGAGGCGAAGUCCGGGUCGGCCUGGCUGCGGUCAGGCGUCCCGCGGGGCGGCUCAAGGAGCAGGGACCGCGGCAGGGUGAGCACGCAGGCCGCCAGGCCCGAGAUGGAGUUGUCCAGCUGUGGGCCCUCCUCCCAGCAGUCCUUCUCCAUGUCAUAGAUGUGCACAUAGCCAGUGCGGCUGCCCCGGUUGUGCGAGCGGCCACCCAGCACGUAGAUCCUGUUGUCUAGCACAGCGAUUCCGGGCUCACCGUGCCCUGCUGGGAGCGGGCAGACGGAUGACCACUGCCCGGACUUGCAGCUGUAGCAGGCCACCUGCAAGGCAAGACCCUAGGCUCACAUAUGAGGCUGAGGGAUGCAGUGGGGCUGUGGGCAAACGCACCCCCCAGAGGAAGGGCUCGGGCCAGGCUGACGCUCUGGCCCCUCAGCCAGCCUGUGGCCCCAGGCAUGUGGGUGUCUUCCAGUUGGUCUGGGGGUGCCAGCUCACUCCCCUCCGCCACUGAAGCUGAAGACUCAGACCCCAUGCACACCCAGCAAUGGGGGAGGUGCAGAUAAAAUAAGGAAACAGGUGCUUGCUAACUCAUGAUGACCAUCAACAUUCUCUUGGGGGAUCCCUGGCAGUCCAGUGGUUGGGACUCAGUGCUUUCACUGCUGGGGCCUGGGUUUGAUCCCUGGUCAGGGAACUAAGAUCCCACAAGCCAUGCAGUGCAGCCAAAAAAAAAAAAAACUUUUCUCUUCAAAAUUACUACAAACAGUAAACAAAUACAUGGGAAAAUGUUCAGCCUACCAGUAAUCCAAGAAAUGCAAAAUAAAACAUCAGGGACAAAUUGUCAGUUGUUAACCAGCAGCCACUGGGGAAGAAAAGGCACAAGCCCGGGGCUGGUGGAGGCGUGGUGAAGCUGUCCUGCUGUGCACCUGUCUGACCAGCCAGCACAGCAACGUGCAAAAUUAUCAAGAGCCACUCGGACACUACCCUCUGACUCAAUGAUGAUCCCCUCCGGUUCACCAGCCGCAGGAGGAGGAAUGGCCUUCAAAGGAGCCUGUGCUCAGAUCUCUGGGACUUGUAUUACUUUACAUGGCAAGAAGGACCCUACAGACUCAUUAGGGUGGGGACAUGGAGAUGGGAGGUUAUCCUGGAUUUUCGGGGGGACCCACCUAGUCACACAAGCCCUUGGAAACAGAAGGGAAAGUCUGGUGGGGGCUGAAAAGGGAGGGGAAGCUGCCGCUGCUGGCUUAGAAGAGGAAGGGGCCUGACCCGGGGGACGUGGAGUCUUUUAGAAGCCAAGAAGGGCUUCAGGCCACAGCAGCCAAGGAAUCGGGACCUGAGUCCUACAACCACAGGGAACUGAACUCCACCGACACCCUAAGUGAGGAGGAUGUGGAUCCUCCCCAGGCCCCACAAAGGAAAGACCCCUGGAUUGCCAUCUGGUAAGAGCCACAGGCGUGUAACACACUUGUGUUGAUUUAAGUGGCUAAAUUUGUGGUGAUUUGUCCCGGCUGCAAUAGAAAACGAAAACGCUAGAGCCCAAUGGUUCUCAACACUGGAGGAUCCCACCCAGGAACUUCCAACUCAGUGGGUCUGGGAGGGGCCAGAGAAUCUGCAUUUCUUAUGAGUUCUCAUGUGAUGUGGGUGCUGCUGGCCCGGGGACCACACUUAAGAGAACCACUGCUCUCACCUCAGGAAAUACCCCAAAAUACCCAAAAGCUCUAUAAAGCAAAUAUUACUUGAAAUGUUACCUGGAAUAGCCACAACUUGACCAACCCAAACGUCACCAGUUUGGUGGAAUUCUGCACA